rnacentral:rRNA from 1 species
CCUACGGGGGGCUGCAGUGGGGAAUAUUGGACAAUGGGGGCAACCCUGAUCCAGCCAUGCCGCGUGUGUGAAGAAGGCCCUCGGGUUGUAAAGCACUUUCAGUGAGGAAGAACGCCUGGUGGUUAAUACCCAUCAGGAAAGACAUCACUCACAGAAGAAGCACCGGCUAACUCCGUGCCAGCAGCCGCGGUAAUACGGAGGGCGCGAGCGUUAAUCGGAAUUACUGGGCGUAAAGCGCGCGUAGGUGGCUUGAUAAGCCGGUUGUGAAAGCCCCGGGCUCAACCUGGGAACGGCAUCCGGAACUGUCAAGCUAGAGUGCAGGAGAGGAAGGUAGAAUUCCCGGUGUAGCGGUGAAAUGCGUAGAGAUCGGGAGGAAUACCAGUGGCGAAGGCGGCCUUCUGGACUGACACUGACACUGAGGUGCGAAAGCGUGGGUAGCAAACAGGAUUAGAUACCCGAGUAGUC